AGCAGCCGCGGUAAUUCCAGCUCCAAUAGCGUAUAUUAAAGUUGCUGCAGUUAAAAAGCUCGUAGUUGAAUUUCGGGACCGGUAUAUCGGUCGUGCCUCGGUACGUACUGGUAUUUUCGGUUUCUCCCUUCUGACGAACCUUGAUGUCAUUAAUUUGGUGUCUUGGGGAAUCAGGACUGUUACUUUGAAAAAAUUAGAGUGUUUAAAGCAGGCUCACGCUUGAAUACAUUAGCAUGGAAUAAUGAAAUAGGACGUUUGAUUCUAUUUUGUUGGUUUCUAGGAUCGACGUAAUGAUUAAUAGGGAUAGUUGGGGGCAUUAGUAUUCAAUUGUCAGAGGUGAAAUUCUUGGAUUUAUUGAAGACUAACUACUGCGAAAGCAUUUGCCAAGGAUGUUUUCAUUAAUCAAGAACGAAAGUUAGGGGAUCGAAGACGAUCAGAUACCGUCGUAGUCUUAACCAUAAACUAUGCCGACUAGGGAUCGGAUGAUGUUAAUUUUUUAAUGACUCAUUCGGCGCCUUAC
rnacentral:rRNA from 1 species